AGAAGAAAGAAAUGAAUGAAUAAAGGAAUAAGAAGGAAUAAGCAAGAAGGAAUCAUGAACGCACGAAAGAAAGUUUUCAUUCCAUAUUGUUCUGUGCUAAGCCAAUAACCCAUCUAUCAAAGUCCACGAAGGGCGCAAAUCUUAAAGGAAUUAUUUUUCACAUAUACCUCAAAGUGAGACGCCUUUACCAAGUAUGAUAAAUCAUGUUGACAGCCAGUUCCAAAUUAGGGAACCAAGUUUGUACGAGACCGUUCGGAAACCUUGGACAAACUGUCACUGCGAUCUGCAAUGCAGCCCCAAACAAUCAAGCCAUCUUGGCAGAAGAACUUCAAACUCGCGAGAGGAUAACCAAGUAAUUGCGUUUGGUUUUCAAAUGCAUUUUUUUAUCAUUUCGAAUGGUCAUAUUCUUUCCAAACGUACAAUAAAAUUUUAUCGAACCCUGAAACACACUAUGUACUUAUCAGAGGCAAGGGACGGCUAACUUGGAUAAUUCAUACCAUUUCUAAAAUAUUGGUGCCUUUUCAUAAUUUCCUUCCUAUUUUCCUAUUAGUAAAUGGAAUUCAAUUCAAUUUCCUACUUGUAAAUGUUUAUUUUGUUUUUAUUUUUUUAAAGUAUAAUUAGCCUGUUUUAGGCUGACAUGACUUUUUGUGCAAAGACAACCAAUUUAUUCGCAUUUCUAUCGAAAAUAUCUCCUAAGAUUGAGAACGUUUAAGAAAGAACUGAAAACCGACCUUUUUAUAAUAGCCUUUAGUUUGUAAAUUAGUGUAAUGCUUGUAUAUAUGAUCAUUUUUAUUUUUAUUUUUUCCAAAGCGCUUAGAACAGAUUUGAAUAAGCGUUAUAUAAGUGUCUAUUAUUAUUAUUAUUAUUAUUAGUCUUUUUUUGCGUAGUAAUGAAAACCGGAGCAACCCCCUCGUGGCGAGGGAGUGCAUCAACAACAAAAUCAACUCGCAUGACACCAGGAAUCGACCCCGUCGCAUUGGUAAGAGGCAAGAGUUUUCGCAGUUCUUUCCGCUA